GACGAACGCUGGCGGCGUGCUUAACACAUGCAAGUGGAGCGAUGAACCAGGGCUUGCCCUGGGGCAGAGCCGCGAACGGGUGAGUAACACGUGGGUAACGUGCCCCGAUGACUGGGACAACCCGGGGAAACCCGGGCUAAUACCGGAUAUGCCCCCUGACAUCUGUCAGGUGUGUAAAGGAAGCUUCGGCCUCCGCAUCGGGAUCGGCCCGCGGCGCAUUAGCUUGUUGGUGGGGUAACGGCCUACCAAGGCAACGAUGCGUAGCUGGUCUGAGAGGACGAUCAGCCACACUGGGACUGAGACACGGCCCAGACUCCUACGGGAGGCAGCAGUGGGGAAUCUUGCACAAUGCGCGAAAGCGUGAUGCAGCAACGCCGCGUGCGGGAAGACGGCCUUCGGGUUGUAAACCGCUUUCAGUUGGGACGAAGGUCGGCGCGUUAAUAGCGGGUCCGACUGACGGUACCUUCACAAGAAGCUCCGGCUAACUACGUGCCAGCAGCCGCAGUAAAAC
rnacentral:rRNA from 1 species